AUUGAACGCUGGCGGCAGGCUCAACACAUGCAAGUCGAGCGGAGAUGAGGUGCUUGCACCUUAUCUUAGCGGCGGACGGGUGAGUAAUGCUUAGGAAUCUGCCUAUUAGUGGGGGACAACAUUCCGAAAGGAAUGCUAAUACCGCAUACGUCCUACGGGAGAAAGCAGGGGAUCUUCGGACCUUGCGCUAAUAGAUGAGCCUAAGUCGGAUUAGCUAGUUGGUGGGGUAAAGGCCUACCAAGGCGACGAUCUGUAGCGGGUCUGAGAGGAUGAUCAGCCACACUGGGAUUGAGACACGGCCCAGAAUCCUACGGGAGGCAGCAGUGGGGAAUAUUGGACAAUGGGGGGAACCCUGAUCCAGCCAUGCCGCGUGUGUGAAGAAGGCCUUAUGGUUGUAAAGCACUUUAAGCGAGGAGGAGGCUACUGAGACUAAUACUCUUGGAUAGUGGACGUUACUCGCAGAAUAAGCACCGGCUAACUCUGUGCCAGCCGCCGCCGCAG
rnacentral:rRNA from 1 species